CCCAGCUUUACACUUCCAGUCUGGGAGAUUUCUUUUAUUUUGUGCACUCGGCUUUUGCACCGUGAUGGCCUUUCCUCGGGCUGGAUGAUCUUCUAUGGCAUCUUUCUGCACAGACGUGAGAUUUGCUACCUACUCAGCAUUUUAUAAAAUACAUGUAGUGAAAGUACAAAAUUUCACAAAAUGUUGUCACAUCCUCUUCAUGUGCAGCUCAAUGGGGACUGGAAGUAUUAGACAAUACAAAGUCAUCAUUAUUUCACGGCUCUCUUGGUAACAUCUGCAGCUAUCUGUACCAAAAAUUUCAUCUAGAAAUGGGAAAAGAUUCCACUCCCUACUUGCACCUAAAUUCACUAUGAUAUACUUGGCAAGUUUGAAUCGAAAUUGCGUUAGAAACACUGAUGCUGCAGAAUAAAGGAAAUCUUUGGACUGAAACUAUGCAACUUCAGCUCGUCCGGCCUAAGUAUUGAUGAUUCUUUCCACCUGCUUUAUUGCUCGUCUAGCUCUGGUACUCUCUCUCUACUAUUGUGAAUUUAUUUUACUCUUCACUCCACUCCACCUGGUGGAAUGCCUCCCAAGUCAAACCAGAGGAAGUCUGGGGUUAGCCCCCCAAAGAGAGGCCCCCAGGUGGGAGAAUAGAAAAAUACCUUGACUCCCCGAAAGGGGAGAGUAAGAAUCAAGGGAACACGGGGCUAUCCCCUAAAAGAUCUAAGACUGGCUCAAGGUUUGAUCCGCUUGCAAUGGCGGAGGAAGGAGCAGAGAGGAGCAUGAACAGAGUGAGCAAUUACUACAGUGUAUCCUGGCGGAGUUGAAGCAGUGUAACACAGGUCUUAGGAACCUCUCUACUCAAGUGGGUGCCCUAUAAACUGACAUUUUGCUGAUUCGCGACGACAUGAACAGGAUGAAAGAGAGGGUGUCGGCGGUAAAGAAAGUUAUCCCUGAUAUCGAUAUAAAAGUUACUGUCACUAAAUCAGAAAUUGAUGCUCUUAAAGAGGAGAACGCUUUGUUUAAAAAGAAAAUCAUAGACAUGGAGGACCAUUCUAGGGCUCAAACAUUAAAUUGAUCGGUCUCCGAGAGGGCAUGGAGGGGGAAAACCUGUGCAGGUUUUGCCAGGACUGGCUAAAAGAGACCUUUAACUCCUUAAGGAUGUAGUGCGUACCUGUACGCCCUACGCCCGUUCUCGGUGUUUAAAACGGGGUCACGCCGUGACCCCGCAUCACACCGGGUCAGUCCCGGCUGUUAAUCAUAGCUGGGCUAACAGCGCGCGGCAUCGAUCGUUGUGCCGUGUGCUGUUAACCCUUCAGAUUCGGCGAUCAAAGUUGACCGCCGCAUCUGAAAAUGAAAGUAAACGCUUCCCGGCAGCUCAGUCGGCUGAUCGGGACAUGGCGAUAAAAGGAGAUCAGCGUGUGCAGUGCUAUAGCUCCCUAUGGGAGCUAUAGCACUGCAAAAAAAAGUGAAAAAAAAAGUUAACAAAGGUCAUUUAACCCCUUCCCUAAUAAAAAUUUUAAUCCCCCCCCCUUUUCCCAUAAAGAAAACCUGUGUAAAUAAAAAUAAACAUAUGUGGUAUCGCCACAUGCGAAAAUGUCCGAACUAUAAAAAUAUAUUCCUAAUUAAAUCGCACGGUCAAUGGCGUGCGCGCAAAAAAGUUCCAAAGUCCAAAAUAGUGUAUUUUUGGUCACUUUUUAUAUCAUGAAAAAAUGAAUAAAAAGCGAUCAAAAAGUCCAAUCAAUACAAAAAUGGUACCUUAAAAAAAUGAGCCCUUAUACCAGCCCGUACGCAGAAAAAUAAAAAAGUUAUAGGGGUUAGAAGAUGAGAAUUUUUUACAUAUAAAUUUUCCUGCAUGUAGUUAUGAUUUUUUUCCGAAGUACGGCAAUAUCCAACCUAUAUAAGUAGGGUAUCCUUUAAACCGUAUGGACCUACAGAAUAACGAUAAGGUGUUAUUUUUACCGAAAAAUGCACUGCAUAGAAACGGAAGCCCCCAAAAGUUACAAAAUGACAUUUUUUCUUCAAUUUUGUCGCACAAUGAAUUCUUUUCCAUUUAGCCAUGGAUUUUUGGGUAAAAUGACUAAUGUCACUGCAAAGUAGAAUUGAUUGCGCAAAAAAUAAGCCAUAAUAUGAAAUUUUAUAUGCAAAAUUGAAAGCGUUAUGAUUUUUAAAAGGUGAUGAGGAAUAAAUGGAAAGGCAAAAACGGAAAAACCCUGCUUCCUUAAGGGGUUAAGGAGUCAAAUUUUCUAAUCUUUCAGAUCACUCCCCAAUAGCAAUCAGAAUUAACUCGGUUAGUGUCCCUAGAGUAUGCCCCCCUCCUUUUAAACUGAAUCCUCAUUGGUUGGAGAUUUUGAAUCGUGAUACAUUUUUCAUCAAAGAAAUUAAAACCUUCUGGGAAAUUAAUAAGGGCUUAACUAGCCUUAAUGUAGCAUGUGACUCACUUAACACCUUAAUGACCACGGACGUAAAUGUAUGUCCUAGUUUGGCGGGACUUCCCGCACCAGGAUGUACAUUUACGUACUGUGUAUGACCGCGAGCAUCGGAACGGUGCCCGUGUCAUACAUGGCAGGUUCCGAUUGCGCGGAUGUCCGCCAUUAACCCCUCAGAUGCCGUGAUCAAUACAGAUCACGGCAUCUGCAGCAGUGCGGUACUUUGAAUGGAUGAUCGGAUCGCCCGCAGCGCUGCACGGCUGUCUCCCGGGGUCUUCUGCUCUGGUCUGAGAUCGAGCAGACCAGA